AGAAUCAACGCUGGCGGCGUGCCUAACACAUGCAAGUCGAGCGCGAAAGGGAGCAAUCCCAAGUAGAGCGGCAGACGGGUGAGUAACGCGUGGGUGAUCUGCCUUCGAGUGGGGGAAUAACACCGGGGAAACUGGUGCUAAUACCGCAUGACAUCGUCGAUUCAUUUCGACGAUCAAAGCCGGGGACCGCAAGGCCUGGCGCUUGAAGAGGAGCCCGCGUCCGAUUAGCUAGUUGGCGGGGUAA
rnacentral:rRNA from 1 species